ensembl:miRNA
GGUGUGGAAUCUUGCUGCAUCCACGAGACCACGUUCAACUCCAUCAUGAAGUGUGACGUGGACAUCCGCAAAGACCUGUACACC